AGCAGCCGCGGUAAUUCCAGCUCCAAUAGCGUAUAUUAAAGUUGUUGCAGUUAAAAAGCUCGUAGUUGAAUUUCGGGAUCAGUACGUCGGUCGUGCCUUCGGUAUGUACUGGUGUCACUGGUUCCUCCCUUCUGACGAACCGUCAUGCCAUUAAUUUGGUGUGGCGGGAAAUCAGGACUGUUACUUUGAAAAAAUUAGAGUGUUUAAAGCAGGCUCACGCUUGAAUACAUUAGCAUGGAAUAAUGAAAUAGGACGUUGAUCUUAUUUUGUUGGUUUCUAGGAUUGACGUAAUGAUUAAUAGGGAUAGUUGGGGGCAUUAGUAUUCAAUUGUCAGAGGUGAAAUUCUUGGAUUUAUUGAAGACUAACUACUGCGAAAGCAUUUGCCAAGGAUGUUUUCAUUAAUCAAGAACGAAAGUUAGGGGAUCGAAGACGAUCAGAUACCGUCGUAGUCUUAACCAUAAACUAUGCCGACUAGGGAUCGGAUGAUGUUAAUUUUUUAAUGACUCACUCGGCGUACCG
rnacentral:rRNA from 1 species